rnacentral:lncRNA from 1 species
UAACCAAUUAAAUAACAUGACUUUAAACUUUAAACUUUAAACCAACUAAUAAAUUUAAAGAUAGCCACAAAAAAAAAAAUAAUAAUAAUAAUAACCCAUAAUGUGCAUUUUGUUUUUCUCUUUCUUCUAUCCACUUGGCAACCCAUAUCACCGUCCUGUCACAGAUCCAAUCGACCCAUACUAACCUGUAAGAUUAUUGUAAAAGUGCAUAUUUAAAAAUAAUCAAUAGGAUACUUGUAGUUUAUAUAAACAAUUAUAUAACAAUAAAUAAACACUUCAUACCACUCUUCUCUUAUGAAAUAUAUCGAUAACCAAACGACACACCCAUCUUAGAUCCUAUUAAAUUUUCAAAAGAUUUCAUGACUCAAAGGUCCACUAACGAUUCAUGUAUAUUUAAUUGAAUACAUAAAAGUAUAAAGAAACAAACCACUUUUACAAAAGUAUCAUACCUCGUUUAAUGAAAGAUUGUAACUAAUGCACAUAAAAACCCUUUUCCUACAUUUAUUUUCCCUCUGUCUUGACUCUCUCUGACAGUAUCUAUGAAUAAAU